GUUCAAUAGUAAAAAUAUUUUCAUGAGGUGAAAGAUGAUUGUUCCAUUCAAGGAGGCGAUAUAAUACCAAAACAGACUAAUAGAUUCGUAUGAGAAGCAUUUUGAUGGACGCGAUUUAUCGAAAACACAAAGAGUUCAAUGGAAUAAAACGUAUAGUACAAUUGGGUUGUUUACCAUUUACAUGGAAAUUCCGGUGAUUUAGAACGGGAAGUAGAUGGAACAAGCACAUUUCGACGGCCCAAUCGAAAAUUUUUCGAAAUAUAUAAACGGUCUGUUUGAAUAGUUGUCUUUUCUUACCGAUUGGAACGUUUCAACCGGUCUAUUUUGUUCUAUUUGCAUUUUUCUAUUUUUCUUCACAAGUUCCGAGCUCUUCUCAAUUUAAU